rnacentral:rRNA from 1 species
AGAGUUUGAUCCUGGCUCAGGACGAACGCUGGCGGCGUGCUUAACACAUGCAAGUCGAGCGGAAAGGCCCUUCGGGGUACUCGAGCGGCGAACGGGUGAGUAACACGUGAGUAACCUGCCCCUGACUCUGGGAUAAGCCUGGGAAACUGGGUCUAAUACCGGAUAUGACACAUGGUCGCAUGGCCGGUGUGUGGAAAGUUUUUUCGGUUGGGGAUGGGCUCGCGGCCUAUCAGCUUGUUGGUGGGGUGAUGGCCUACCAAGGCGACGACGGGUAGCCGGCCUGAGAGGGCGACCGGUCACACUGGGACCGAGACACGGCCCAGACUCCUACGGGAGGCAGCAGUGGGGAAUAUUGCGCAAUGGGCGGAAGCCUGACGCAGCGACGCCGCGUAGGGGAUGACGGCCUUCGGGUUGUAAACCUCUUUCAGCAGGGACGAAGUUGACGUGUACCUGUAGAAGAAGCGCCGGCUAACUACGUGCCAGCAGCCGCGGUAAU